GGUGUGUACCCGCCGGAUGGCACUGUUGUGAAAACGCUGUGGCGGCUCGUGCACGGGCAUGCCAGACAUCGAUCUCUUCGGAUUACUGCACACACACACACACACACACACACACCACUCUCAUGCGCAGCGGUUGCGUGUACUUCAACCUAUCCCCUCGCUAGCAGGUUGCAUCCGGACUCUCCGGACGGGAAAUAGCUAGCAGCAUACAAGCAACAACUGUCCGGCAUCGUGGGGCUCCUUACGAGCUCUGCACAGAUGGUGCGCCACAGACAGGCAUCGCGUCACGAGCGGCCGCGCUGCUUUAGACCACCCAUACACUCAUAGGCAGAGCUUGAAGAGACUGCGCGCCUCCCCUACCUUGCUUGCAGCUUCUCUCGCUGCAUGCGAAGCAACUGUGCCGGGAUUUUCGCUACAGCAGCCGUCAUUGAAGCCUCAGCGACGCAGUCUGGCCCAUCUGUCUUUGACGGGCUGCCGGUGAACCCAAAAUCUAAGGAGGGCGAAGCGGGUGCUGACGAUGAAAGGGCGCUUUCCAUCACAGCGGAUUCGUGUGUGCUGUGUGCGGCGGAUGCCGCCGGCAGCUUGGCCCCCGCGGUGCCGCUGAAAACCGUGGCGGAGCUAGAAACUGCCGAAGUGCGCGACGGGGAUGGGAGGGAGUGUGUGUUGGGGGCCGCCCGGCUUCUGUUGGAGGAGGGCGCCGGUGGUGCCGGUGCGGUGAACCGCGGUUUGCGAGUCAGGGCCUUUCGGCGCUUCAGCGGAUCCAUCGGGCCGAUCCCGUACGUGACCUUCUUGCGCAAGAACAUCCAGGACGUCGAAUUCGGUCGCGACCCGAAUGCCAUCUUCUACUCGCUCUUCCAGGACCCGGCGAAGCACAUUGACGACAUGCAGUGCCUGCGCAUGUUUGUGCGGCGCUACCUGGUGCACACGAGCGAGGGCAACAACCCGCGCCAGGUGCCGCUCUAUGCAUUCCUGUCUGUCCGGUGUGCAUGGCCGGAUGUGGACCGUGAGCUGGUGAAUCGGCUGGUGCAUGAGGAGCUUACCGCUCUCGUCAAGGCCGACCGCGCCAUCAAGUCGGAGAAGGAGCGAAAACGCGCCCGCGAGGAACCUGUGGCGAUGUCGCGGUGGACUUGUCCUCUCCAGAGGGAGUACUAGCGCCCAUUUUAUCCGGUGCAGUUGCCAAACGGUUAUGAGGCGACACCUGCUGUUUUUGUCUGCUUUUUUUCUGUCAGUGGUGUCUUUGCUGUUGAUCUGGAGGUGAUGCUUGACGUAGUUGGAAACCAGCUCGUGACCGGCACUCGGUAAAACAGAUGGUUGACUGCAUCCUCUUUACUGUGGUGUGGAGUGGCGGCGGCUGUGUGCGUUGUUCUGCGGUGCGUGUCCACGCGAGUUGCCCUCCGGACCAUGGUGAGGAGCUGAUGAUAUGUACCAUCGACAUUGCUGACGCUGCUGCGUGCAUGAUCGUCGUUGCAGGGGUAACUGCAGCGCGCCUCCGGGGCACCGGUGCGCGAUCCUUCACGGGCAUGGUUUCGUAGAAGGAUCUCUGUUCUCUAUCGAAUGUCCGAAGUCCCCAGACUCCUCACGAGCUCUAGGAACGCCUCUGUCGGUGUGCUCUACGACUCUUGCGCUGCGUUUAGUCUGUACUCGACGGAGUGCUAAGAGCCUAUCUGGAACUGCGCUGCGCUGGUGAUGGUCACUCUACCUGUGCCUGCGGUCGCUUUCGGAUGGCUUGUUUUCGACAUCGUGUUUCUCCCUGUGAAAGCGGUGGUGGAUAUCGGAGUCGGUCAUUGGCCACAUUGGUGAAUUGGAUUGGCCCUCUCGCUGAUGUGUUGGCGCUAAAGGACGUGGAUGAGACUUUUGUCACUGUUGUUGUCUUGUGUGAGGGAGGCAGGCUUUCCGUUUUUGCAGGUGCAGGCAGGGGUCGAGCAAGACGCAAGAGGAAAAGCGCAGAUCGGGUGUAGGCCUGUUCCAUUGGCUGUGGCUGCCCGAUUCGCUUUGGGAAGCUGACCUUCCGGGGGCGACGCGGUUCGCGUAGAUUUUGUCCGUGAAUAUGCUCCACCUAUGUGGUGCAGCAGGCCGCGCCGGGAUGGCUGCUUAUUUGAAUCUUCGCGUCUCUUCGAUCAUCCUACUUCUCGCCUCGAGGUGGUCGUUGUCUUGCGAUGAAUGAUGCCUGCGUGACACACACACGAGAGAGAGAGAGGAAGGACAAGCAGGCACCCAGCGUCAUCGCUCAUGUGAGCACCGGCGAGGUGAGUCGCAAGCGAGGCAUUGGUCUCUCCUCAGAUGUGAUUUGCGUAGCGAGUAUGUGAGAGGACCUCGUGAUGCUCUUUUCGCUGUUUUCGUCGUGUUGCGGUUCGAGGAAAGGGUGCGUGCUGCGCUGUACCCUUUUGCCCGUCUUUGUAGCCACGGCAGUGCAGACUGAUGCGGAGGUGGUUCCUCGUGUGUCUGUCUUCUCUGGUGGGCAUGCGUUGCUACGCCCCUCCUCUCUUCUCGCUUUUCAUGUCCUUAUCACUAACGACUCCCCCCCCCACACACACACAACCGCCGCACCCUUUAUCCUUUUCACGUGAAGACAUCGUAGCAACUCGAUUGUGAUCUUUAUAUUUCCUUAUUGUUUUCCAACGCAAUUCUAGACGUUGUGGGAGCAAUGUGCAGCGGUAGGCAGCGUCGACUCUCCUCUUCUCCAUUCUACGGCCCCCCCGACACUGCGGGUGCUACGUGCGCCGCCGACACCUGUGCAGAAACUCCACUCCCUGCACUUUUAUCUGGUCUUUCUCACUGCUUCCCUUUUGCCGUCAUUCUACUUCUCACGUAUUUUCUUCUCCGCCUUUAUGGCGCGGCCGUUUAUGCUUUUCGGCAGCAGGCGCGCUUCGCGCGGCAGCCGUGCGUGUUUCCUUUCCCUCGUGCCUGGCAUCGGUUGGUUGCGUUUCUGAUAGCAUGGUG
rnacentral:misc_RNA from 1 species